rnacentral:rRNA from 1 species
GACGAGCGCUGGCGGCGUGCUUAACACAUGCAAGUCGAGCGGUAAGGCCCUUUUGGGGGUACACGAGCGGCGAACGGGUGAGUAACACGUGGGUGACCUGCCCUCAGCUCUGGGAUAAGCCUGGGAAACUGGGUCUAAUACUGGAUAUGACCUUUCCUCGCAUGGGGGUUGGGUGGAAAGUUUUUCGGCUGGGGAUGGGCCCGCGGCCUAUCAGCUUGUUGGUGGGGUGAUGGCCUACCAAGGCGACGACGGGUAGCCGGCCUGAGAGGGCGACCGGCCACACUGGGACUGAGACACGGCCCAGACUCCUACGGGAGGCAGCAGUGGGGAAUAUUGCGCAAUGGGCGGAAGCCUGACGCAGCGACGCCGCGU